rnacentral:rRNA from 1 species
AUGGCGGCGGAGGUGAGCUCCAUCGCCAGGAUGCUCCGCGGGGAGGCCGGGAAGGGUAGGGCCGGCGCGGGGAAGGCGCCGGAGAUGGUGACCAUGGAUCUGCUCGGCGGGUGCGGCAGCGACGCCGGCGGGCAGGACGAGGUCGUCGACCUCGAGGUCAAGGUGCCCGCCGGCUGGGAGCGACGGCUUGAUCUGCUGUCCGGCAAGACGUUCCUGACCCCUCAUCGCCACCAGGCCGCCCAAGACGGCCACCAGGACCUCAACCUGCCUCCCACGGCAUCCACCGCUCCGGCCGCCGCCGUCACCACAUGCGCCGCGGUCUGCACCCUCGACAUGGUCCGCGACGCCCUGCAGCGCGCCGCUGCCGCGCGGUCAGCCCGCUCUCCGGACACUUCGUCCUCGUCGUCUGCGUCCACCUCCUCGUCGUGCCCCUCCCUGGGAAAGCGCAGCCGCUCGCCUCCUUCAAGCACGGCGUCGCCCCCCGCGAACCCGGCCAUGCGCGCGUCCGCGUGCCCGUCCUGCCUCACGUACGUGCUCAUCGCCGAGGCCGACCCCCGGUGCCCGCGGUGCACGUCCAAGGUGCCGCCGCUCCCCACCAAGCCCGCCGCCCACAAUAGCGGGAAGAAGCCGAAGAUUGACCUGAAUGCUGCCGCCGAUGAGACCGAGUGA